rnacentral:rRNA from 11 species
GCGAUCAUACCAGCACUAAUGCACCGGAUCCCAUCAGAACUCCGAAGUUAAGCGUGCUUGGGCGAGAGUAGUACUAGGAUGGGUGACCCCCUGGGAAGUCCUCGUGUUGCACCCA